rnacentral:ncRNA from 1 species
CAACGUGAAGAAAUUCAAGCAAGCGCGGGUAAACGGCGGGAGUAACUAUGACUCUCUUAAGGGCUAAUGCCCAUCUUAAGUAACUAUG